CGACAGCAAUAUGAAGGUCAGGCUGAAGACCUUACCCGAUUAGCUGAGAGGUGGUGCAUGGCCGUCGUCAGUUCGUACUGUGAAGCAUCCUGUUAAGUCAGGCAACGAGCGAGACCCACGUCCACAGUUGCCAGCAUACCCUCCGGGGUGAUGGGUACACUGUGGAGACCGCCGCUGCUAAAGCGGAGGAAGGAGUGGGCAACGGUAGGUCAGUAUGCCCCGAAUCUCCCGGGCUACACGCGGGCUACAAUGGUUGGUACAGUGGGCAUCUACCCCGAAAGGGGAAGGAAAUCUCUUAAAGCCAAUCGUAGUUCGGAUUGAGGGCUGCAACUCGCCCUCAUGAAGCUGGAAUCCGUAGUAAUCGCGUUUCAACAGAACGCGGUGAAUACGUCCCUGCUCCUU
rnacentral:rRNA from 1 species